UACGGGGGAGCAAGCGUUGUUCGGAUUUCCUGGGCGUAAAGGGCGCGUAGGCUGCCUCUGCAAGUCGGCUGUGAAAUCUCCGGGCUUAACUCGGAACGGUCAGCUGAUACUGCUUUGCUAGAGUGCAGAAGGGGCAAUCGGAAUUCUCGGUGUAGCGGUGAAAUGCGUAGAUAUCGAGAGGAACACCUGAGGUGAAGACGGGUUGCUGGGCUGACACUGACGCUGAGGCGCGAAAGCCAGGGUAGCAAACGGG
rnacentral:rRNA from 1 species